rnacentral:rRNA from 1 species
UACAGAGGGUGCGAGCGUUAAUCGGAUUUACUGGGCGUAAAGCGUGCGUAGGAGGCUUGUUAAGUCGGAUGUGAAAUCCCCGGGCUCAACCUGGGAAUUGCAUUCGAUACUGGCAAGCUAGAGUUCGGUAGAGGGUGGCGGAAUUUCCGGUGUAGCGGUGAAAUGCGUAGAUAUCGGAAGGAACACCAAUGGCGAAGGCAGCCACCUGGGCCUGAACUGACUCUGAGGCACGAAAGCGUGGGGAG